GGAGCGAGUGAGGACUCGGCUCCGGUAGUGGCGGUGAGCGGGCGCUCGCGAGCAGGGUUGACCGGCCGGCCGCCUAGAGAGGGGAUCGGCGGCGGCGGCGGCGGCUUUCUCGGGCAUCGGUUCGUUCGAUCGGUCCGGUCGCUUCGGUUUGUCCGUCGCUCCUCAUCCCGCAGCUCUGUCCUGGGCUAAGGCGGUUUUGCAGGCGAGCAGCGAAAAAAAGCCGGAGAAGGCGAGAGAGAGGCAAGAAGCAAGCCGGCUCCCGCGCCGCCAGGGCGAAGGCGAGAGAGAGAGGGAGACGAGAAGGGCACGGGCCGGUCUGCCGGCACCCGAACGUAGGAUGGCCGGGGGCGUCCCCGGCGGGUCCCGCCGCGAUGGAAGAGGGGGACCCGGAGGUCGUAGGUCGUGGCGGCGUCGCCUCGUCCUCCUUUCGCACCGCAUUCUCACCCGCACGCGGGAGCCCCGGCCGAUUCGUGGCGCUCCUCGGGCGCGUCGGGGAGGCUUCCCGGCGGGCCGGCUCUAUCCCGCUCCCCGGCUCGUUCGGGGUGGCGUGGGGCGGGCCGGUGUUCAGGCACGGGCGAGCACCUCUCGUCGGACGUUGCCCACGCACACCCACCUGCACGUGCGCGUGCGGUCUUUCCGCCGCGCCUGGGGGAAGGGCUCGCGCCUUCUCCCUCCUUUCUUUCUCCUCCCCCCCACCCCCUUUCUCCCACCGAUCGAUGAGGCCACUCGGGUCGCGUCGGAGAGGGCCCCCGGCGGGCCGGCGCUCUGCGCUCCCUGUCCCAGGGAAGCCGCGGCGGCGUCCGGUGUUCAGGCACGGGCGGCCUCCUCUCCAGUUCGCUUCCCGUCGUUCGCGAGGUGAGGCGCUCGCCCGCUUGGGCCGAGGGCGGCGGCGGCGGCGGCUUCGGGGCGCGUGGCCUCGCCGUGCCGACUCGUCUGUCCGCCCGCCCUGUCGGUGCCCCAGGGCUCGCCCGACCGAAUCCAGCUGUGUGACGGCCGAGCGGCCCCGCGAGCCGCAGGCGUACCUAUUUCGUUGUGAGCGAGGCGUCGGCGCUGCCCUCGUUUCGGGGCCCGGCGAGUGCCGGCCGCGAGCAGCAAGCCGGCGGGGUGGCAACCGAGGGAAACCGCGGGGAACCGAGGCGAAGCGAGCAGCAGCAGAAGAAGAAGGAACGAGAAGACAACGGGGGGCUGCGCCCGGCCGAGCGGGCGAGCCCGGAGCAGCGCGGCGCGUCCCGCUCCGGAUCCGUCGGGGUGUGGGGGCCGGGGGCGUCCGCCGGCCUCUCCUCCGCCUUCGGGCCGCCGCAGCCCGUGUCGGUUUUCCUGCCGCGUCCCCGCCCGCUGCGGAGCGUGCCGCCCCGGGAAAGGGUCUCCGAUCGUGGGGUCGCGCCCGUCUCGAGGUCGCGUUCUCCUCUAGCACGUCCGUCUCCGGCGGCGGGGCUUCGUUUCCCCGUCCGCUUCUCCGCCGGUCCCGGAGGGCGGGUCAGCCCCGGCCGGCCGUGCGGCGCGAGCGCGAGUCCGGCUCCCGCGGGGGGGGCCCGGAGCGUGCCGCCGAAAGCAGCUGCGCAGCGGUCCCCGCUCCUUCCCCGCGGGGGGGAGGUCGGCGGGGCCGCCCGCCCCGCCGAGAGGCGUUCGCCCCGGCGGCCGCCGCCGUCGACCCGGCAAGGGCCAGACGGGAAAGCCGAGCGAGCAGGCGAGAGAGAGAGAGAGGGAAGGAGCGAGAGCGGUCGGCGGCGGGCCGGGCCCGUCGGGUCGUGCCCCGUGGCGCGGCUACCUGGUUGAUCCUGCCAGUAGCAUAUGCUUGUCUCAAAGAUUAAGCCAUGCAUGUCUAAGUACACACGGGCGGUACAGUGAAACUGCGAAUGGCUCAUUAAAUCAGUUAUGGUUCCUUUGGUCGCUCCCCUCCCGUUACUUGGAUAACUGUGGUAAUUCUAGAGCUAAUACAUGCCGA
rnacentral:lncRNA from 1 species